rnacentral:rRNA from 1 species
AGAGUUUGAUCCUGGCUCAGAAUGAACGCUGGCGGCGUGGAUAAGACAUGCAAGUCGAACGGAGGAAUCGCUAGUUUACUAAUGGUUUCUUAGUGGCGGACGGGUUAGUAACACGUGAGCAACCUGCCUUGAAAUGGGGGAUAUUCCUGGGAAACUGGGUUUAAUACCGCAUAAGCCUUACGAGGUAAAGCUGGCUUUGGCUGGCGUUUCAAGAUGGGCUCGCGUCCUAUCAGCUAGUUGGUGAGGUAACGGCUCACCAAGGCGACGACGGGUAGCUGUUCUGAGAGGAAGAUCAGCAACACUGGAACUGAGACACGGUCCAGACACCUACGGGUGGCAGCAGUCGAGAAUCAUUCACAAUGGGGGCAACCCUGAUGGUGCAACGCCGCGUGGAGGAUGAAGGCCCUAGGGUUGUAAACUCCUGUCAUCUGGGAGUAAGCUAUGUUCAUUAAUAGUGUGCAUAGUUGAUAGUACCAGAAGAGGAAGGGACGGCUAACUUCGUGCCAGCAGCCGCGGUAAUACGAAGGUCCCGGGCGUUAUUCGGAAUCACUGGGCGUAAAGGGAGCGUAGGCGGCGUGGUAAGUCAGAUGUGAAAGCCCAAGGCUCAACCUUGGAACUGCAUUCGAUACUGCCAUGCUAGAGUAGUGGAGAGGUGACUGGAAUUCUCGGUGUAGCAGUGAAAUGCGUGGAUAUCGAGAGGAAGACCAAUGGCGAAGGCAGGUCACUGGACACUCACUGACGCUGAGGCUCGAAGGCCAGGGUAGCGAAAGGGAUUAGAUACCCCUGUAGUCCUGGCAGUAAACGAUGUGCGCUUGGUGUGGGCGGGUUCGACCCCGUCCGUGCCGGAGCUAACGCGUUAAGCGCACCGCCUGGGGAGUACGGCCGCAAGGCUAAAACUCAAAGAAAUUGACGGGGACCCGCACAAGCGGUGGAGUAUGUGGCUUAAUUCGAUGCAACGCGAAGAACCUUACCUAGGCUUGACAUGUAUUGCUAAUCCCGUGAAAGCGGGUGAGCCUUCGGGCGCCUUACACAGGUGCUGCAUGGCCGUCGUCAGCUCGUGUCGUGAGAUGUUCGGUUAAGUCCGGCAACGAGCGCAACCCCUGUGGCUAGUUACUAACAUUAGGUUGAGGACUCUAGCCAGACUGCCCAGAUCAACUGGGAGGAAGGUGGGGAUGACGUCAGGUCAGUAUGGCCCUUACGCCUAGGGCUGCACACGUACUACAAUGCCCAGUACAAUGAGAGCCGAUGCCGCGAGGCGGAGGAAAUCUACAAAACUGGGCUCAGUUCGGAUUGGAGGCUGCAACUCGCCUCCAUGAAGUUGGAAUCGCUAGUAAUGGCACAUCAGCUACGGUGCCGUGAAUACGUUCCCGGGUCUUGUACACACCGCCCGU